GACAUGAGCUCACUCCAGAGAGGCUGGUAUUAGAGGAGAAGGGAGAGAGGGAUUGUUUUUUGGAUCCAAACCAGGGAAAAGGAGUGGCUGUUAUUACGGCAUAAAAGUAUGGGCUCCAAAGGAGAUGGUUGAGCUGCCCGUGAAGAUCCGGCUUCUGGGCCUCCAGGCUAAUCUCCUAGGAGCAGUCAGUGGUUAGUGAGCUGGGUUCAGAAUCUUUUCACUCUGCCUUUUUCUGCCUGGAAAUUGGACUCGAGAGGUGGGAGUCUCCCCUCUACUCUUGACUCACCUAUUUCAUGCUUCCUUUCAUCUGUGUGCGCUCCCCAGUGAGGUCACACUGGUGAGUUCAGAUGGAUUGAGGAGUCCGAAGAGCAGAAAUAAAAGUUCUUUAACUGCCACCAAGUUACAGAUGCCACCAUGACGCCAACCUGACUUUCCUGGGCAGAUGGACCUCACCAAUGUGUCCCGGUACCCCACCUCUCCACAGCCCUGCCCCACUAGGGAAAGACAGAAACAGGCUAGGUGUAUGGAUCAACCUACCAAAGCCCAUGUCCAGUGGAGAAGCAAUUAUAGAAGCCAGACUCCCACCUUCUGCAUCCCAUAAUGAUCUUGGGUCCAUGCUUCCAGAGGGAUAAAGAAUAGAAACACUCCCAAUGGAGGGAUGGGAUACAGUACUCUGGUGGUGGGAUUGUGUGGAAUUGUACCCCUCUUAUCCUAUGGUCUUGUUGAUCUAUUAAAUCAGUAAAAAAUAAAGAUGUGCAUUCUAUUGAGAGCACCACCACUCUCUCCCCCA